GCCAGUUUUCGGUCAGCACCGGGGGGAAGGAAGCACAAGUUGCAGCAGAUCCAGUCUCACCAGUCUUUCUCCAGCAAAGACUGAAAAUCUUGUGGAGUUGGUUUGGAAACACAGGAAGUGCUGACCAGAGGCGUGAGCUGUGAAGGUUUGGUUUGAAUGGGGAAACCAGCUAACUCAUGUUUCAGUGUACUGUCACACACAAGUUUGUGUGGCCCUGGCUUGGUGACGGACCUCCCCUGUGAGUGCAGUACCUCAUGGUUUGGGUCUCUGAUUGUCACAUGGACACCAAAGUGAGGGGAGUGGGUGAAUGUCUUCAAAUCCCAAGGCUCCAACAAGGAAUACCCUGAAUAGAUUGGAAACGACACUCAGGAGGAAUAUUCCCUCUCCAGGACUCACCGGUCACCAGCAUGUCUUCAGGAAUCUCCUCAAUGAUGCAUUUUUCCUCCUGUUCUCCGAGAUCAAAAUACAUGGCUGC